UAAUCUUUCAGGGUUAUUUGUCUGCUACUU
rnacentral:piRNA from 1 species